rnacentral:lncRNA from 1 species
AUUAGCCGACAAGGGGAAGGACGUGACGGAGAAGCUGGCGUCCAUGUACUUGGUCUGGCCGGCGCCGAUUUCUCCGGCGGGUAUGAACAUGAACCCGACCUGGGACCCGGAGUAGACGAGCUGGAGCGUGCUGUCGUAGUGGCGGAAGGUGGCGCGGUUAGGGUUUUGGACGGAGGCGGACUGGGAGAAGGUGAAGUUGACGGCGUUGGUGUUGGGUGCUAAUAAGAAGGAAGGGAGCUGGACGGCGGUGACGGAGAUCUUGAGGUCUUUUGGUUUGAAGACGGUGAAGAAGACGAUUAGAAGGACGAUGACUAGGAAGAUUAAGAAGAUGGUGGCGACUAUGCAGGAUUCCGGCGGGUAUGAACAUGAACCCGACCUGGGACCCGGAGUAGACGAGCUGGAGCGUGCUGUCGUAGUGGCGGAAGGUGGCGCGGUUAGGGUUUUGGACGGAGGCGGACUGGGAGAAGGUGAAGUUGACGGCGUUGGUGUUGGGUGCUAAUAAGAAGGAAGGGAGCUGGACGGCGGUGACGGAGAUCUUGAGGUCUUUUGGUUUGAAGACGGUGAAGAAGACGAUUAGAAGGACGAUGACUAGGAAGAUUAAGAAGAUGGUGGCGACUAUGCAGGAUGCUAGAUUCGUACGGCCCGAUUUCGGCCUGUGAUUCGGCUUGCUCAUCUCUCUUCUUUUCUGAAUUUUUUCUUCAAGCUGAGUGCUGCCGAAGAAGGGAGUGUUCUUGGAUGGAUCUGAGAAGAGAGUGAAAGGCUAAGAGUGUGAGGAAAUGGGUGAUGGGAAAAUGGACCUGUUUAUCUUUUGUCCUUUCCUAUUUCAAGGUGACGACAUGGUUUUUAAUUUUUACUCCUGUAUACUUAAAUAUCGUGUUAAAUA